rfam:Lactobacillus panis DSM 6035 NODE_366, whole genome shotgun sequence.
AAUUGUCUUCAAGGCAGGGUGCAAUUCCCGACCGGCGGUGAUAGCCCGCAACCCGUGUGAACGGUUGAAUUUGGUGAAAUUCCAAUGCCGACAGUAAAGUCUGGUAUAGAGAAGAUUUCU